rnacentral:lncRNA from 1 species
AAAUCAAGCCCGAAUCGUCUGCAUGAUUACAAAUUCGUGAUCGCCUAGUCGUGAGGAUCAUAAGGUAUGUAAAAAUUUGAUGAUUUUUGACUCUAAACAAGCUAGGUGGGAGCUUGAAAAGGAACGGGUCAAACGGAUCAUGGAUGCGAAGAAUGUUUGUGCGGACGUGAGGUAAGUAAAGCUUACACUUUUUUUAGGAUACGUAUUUACUUUAUAGAUUAUAAACACGGCCAAGGUUAUAUCCGAAAUAUGGGUUCCGACACGAAAUGAUACAGGUCGGGACGAAUAAAAGGAUAAAAACCAUGUUUAAUGGCAAAAAGGGGCGAAAUGGGUUAAAUAAUGAAAUGGUAAAUAAAGACCAUUCAAAUAUAAGUGCAAAAUGUUGGUCGUUUAGACUAAACAGGUCAAAUGGUAAUGUUAACACCAUUUGACGACUAACAAGUGCAUGUCGAAUCUA